rnacentral:rRNA from 1 species
UACGUAGGGUGCGAGCGUUGUCCGGAAUUAUUGGGCGUAAAGAGCUCGUAGGCGGUGUGUCACGUCGGCCGUGAAAACCUGCAGCUUAACUGUGGGCGUGCGGUCGAUACGGGCAUCACUGGAGUUCGGCAGGGGAGACUGGAAUUCCUGGUGUAGCGGUGAAAUGCGCAGAUAUCAGGAGGAACACCUAUAGCGAAGGCAGCUUGCUGGGACGCUACUGACGCUAAGGCGCGAAAGCGUGGGGAGCGAACAGG